AUAGUUGUGACUGUGUGGUUAAAGUGAUGGACUAGAAAUCCAUUGGGGUCUCCCUCCCAGGUUCAAAUCCUCCCGACUAUG
rnacentral:tRNA from 1 species